GAGUUCAACCAGAGGAACUGGCCACCGGCUCGGUGUCACUGCUGUGGAGGUGGAUGAGUCCGCUCCGGCGUGUGGACGUGGUCUGUGCGCUCCGAGGACGCAGGAGGUCUGUGGAUAGUUUCACCUUCACUCGACGGAAAGUUGCACUGGAAUCGUGAGAACUUAGAAAAUCCCUCUAAAUUUACUUUGAGCUGAAAGUAACAGAUUGUAAAUAAGGGAUUAUUAGUGCUCUCAGGGUUUCUAUGAGAUCGGAGCAGGAAGGAGUCGCUUCGCUGACGAAGCGCACAGGGAACACGCACAUGUGCGCCGCGUCGUGCGUUAUUGCCCUGUUUCCUCGCCUUUAUGGUUUGAAAGUUCUUCUCCGGUCUGAGGAUACAUGCUGAAGGAUUUUGCAUCUCGUCGCUUCGGGAGAUCAUUGGCACAGUUUCAGAGAAGAUGCUGCUCAGGGACGCGUCGCAUCUGUGGCUGCUGAUCCUGUCCGUGUCAGUCAGCGGAUUCCCCACAAACCUCAAGAAAAUCUCAUCCAGAGACAGAAACACCAGCAUUACUGAGGUCAUAUCAGAACAUAACCAUGGGGCUGGUCAACAGAGUCUUCAGGAGCUGGAGCAGGAGAACUUGUUGCAGACGCUACCCUCCGGACCAUCCUCAUCCCGAUCCAGACACCGCUGGACCCACCAGCGUCACCAUGGGGUCCUCCCUCCGCCUGAACCUGAGGAGGACCCUGAACCCUUCAUCUUGGAUCUGAGGAACUUCCCAGAGUUGGCCAACGCAGACAUGGGCUCACAGAACCCUAAUAUCCAGGUGACCAUCGAGGUGGUGGACGACACACAGACUGAGACAGAGGUGGAGAUGGACUUGGUCAAGGAUGGCCAGCGUAACGACUGGUCGGUGUCAUCGUCAGAGUGGGCCAACAGCCACAAGAAGCUGUUCUGGCCACUGUUCUGGGAGUACCCGGACCAGGUGGAGAACGGGCUGGGCCGAGCCAGUCUGGAGGAGCAACCUGAGGACUACAGCUACGACCCUGAGGAGCCAGUCCUCAGUGGAGUUGAAGGAGACUGGGACAGCAACUGGAACAAAGAAUGGGAGGCCAAAGAUAACUACGAGUACGAGGAGGAGUGGAGCGACUGGGCUCCCUGCAGCGUCACCUGUGGUCACGGCACCCAGAAACGGACACGCUCCUGCGGAUACGCGUGCACGGCCACAGAGUCACGUACGUGCGACCUGGAGAGCUGUGCUGAUGCUGUCAUCACAGUAACUGAGCUGACACCCACCCCGACGACCAACAGCACUGACUCCCUGGACACAAAUGUAGACAGCUGUGAGAAAUGGUUGAGCUGCAAGAAUGACUUCCUGCAGAAAUACCUCCACCAGGUGCUCACAGAGCUGCCCAGCUGCCCUUGCUCAUACCCCUCUGAGGCUGUUUACAGCGCCGUCAACAUCCAGGACACCAAACUUCGUAAGACGUACCGUUGGAGGGACGCAAGUGGACCUAAAGAACGCUUGGACAUCUACAAGCCCUCGGCCCGGUUCUGCAUCCGUUCGAUGCUCUCGUACGACAGCACGACGCUGGCGGCACAGCACUGCUGCUACGACGACCAGAUGAAACUGAUAACACGAGGGAAAGGAGCAGGAGCGCCCAACUUGAUCAGCACGGAGUUCUCACCAGAACUGCAUUACAAAGUGGAUGUUCUGCCCUGGAUCUUGUGCAAAGGGGACUGGAGUCGCUUUCACUCAGUAAGACCCCCCAAUAAUGGGCUGGACUGUGCUGAUAACCCGUCUGAACAAGUGUUUCAGAUGGAACUUAAAGAGGCACAGGAGUACUGACGCUCUGGGGUGGUGGGGUCGCUAUGAGACAGGUGGAGGACGAAUGAACAAAUGGACAUAUGGGAUGGUUUUCAGUUCAAACCUCCAUUUCCACUAACAUUCAGUGGACACAUGGAUACAUGUUGUUAAAAAACUGACCUGACAUUCUAAACAGAUGACAGUGUGAAUGGAUGACACAGACAGCCUAGACUAGUUAAGCUUUUUUUAUACUUAUAUGUAGACUGUUUGUGCACAGCAACAAACCUGGAAUGACAGUGGUGUUGGAACCAUUGAGAGGACAAUGAAAAACAGUGCUGAAAUGUCGGAAAGUAUAUUCAGCGAAGCCCCGUUCCUCUGAUGUUGCUGCUACUCUGUCGGGAUGUGCAGAGUUUAGGUGAAUGUCUCUAAUGGCAGUGGCGUGUGUAUGCGUGUGUAUGUGCAUGUGUGUGUGUAUGUGUGUAUGGAGGAUGAGCUUAUUUAUUGGCCCGUUGUACUAUUUUAAUCACAUCUAGUGUCCCAUGAAAAAGAAUUCCUGUCAAGCUGCUCAAAGAGGGAAUAAAGUCAAAUGGACUAUAAAUUGUCUACAAGUUCAUCCUCACCAAAUCUCUGAAAGAAUUAUUAGCACUGAGGCAUGACUGGAAUUUUCUUCCCGUCCACAUCCGCCGUGUCAGGGCUUUUAAACAAUGCGUACUCCCACAGCAGGAAGACAUACAGCAUCUUUUAUGGAGCAUGAAGUGAAGACUAAAACUUUCAGCGGGCACUGUGAAGAUCGUCCAGUGAGGGGAGGGGGCAACCGAUGAUCUUCUGUGCUGUGUUAAUAACCCUCUGGAGCGCUUUCCUCUGGGCUGCUGUGCAGCUGGUGAACCACACACAGACACAGUAUGUUAAUAUGCUCCGUAACAGGUGCCGUCGAGAGACUGGUACAUACACAGUUUGCAUCAUGUAUCUUUCAGAUGCAAACACCAGUGGUCCAGGAGUCACACACAGUUGAUUUGUUGUUAUUAUAACAUAUGUUUUGCCCUAAAUUAUUGCAUAUUCAUUAAACACUGCCUAAUAAAAAAAAAGGCAAACAAAUAAUAUUUCAUUGGACCACCUUUAGGUUUGAUUAUGGGACAAUGCUUGUGCAAUGUCAUAAUAAAUGUCACAUUUCCAUCCAGAUGUGCGUUUGUUUUCAGCCAUGAUCUUGCAUU